CAUCGCAAUGCCAGAAACCGAAGGAACGUAUAUUUAUAUGGGUGCCUGGAAGCAGACCGAGAAACGCAGAGCACGGUUUCACUUUCAAGUGGCUGAUGGGACGGACACGCUUUGUUUAAAAAUCCCAAAAUUCUGUGUCACCCACGAUCAACCUUGUGUGCAACACUAAAAAUAACGAAGCGUUAUCGAGUAAGCCGCGACUUUGGUUGGUUCAUUGCGCACUUUAUCAUCAUUCGCCUCAUGUUUGUAAAAAUUAUUCUCCUGCAAACAUUGAUGGCCAUUUACUCAAUUGUUAAGAUCGAUGAUACGCUGAUUAAACUGGGGAUGCGAAGAUGUUAGUUCGACACCAAAUUUCAACUUUUUACAUCGAACAUAGCGAUCCUGUUAAUGAAGUCACCGCCCGCGUUCACCACUUCACCAGUCAACGAUGGGACUGCAGUAACAACUCGCGCUCUGUCAUUUGGCCAACCGCAAGUAGCGAGUGUGUGCGAAAUACUGAAUAAUUUUAACGUUCCAGGCGAUGAGAGUUUGUGAAUACAGUCCGCGCAGUGGAACAAUAUUUUAACUAUAGAUCUACCUAUGCGUGAAGGAUUCGAAGACCGAUCGGUGCCGCAAUUACAUUCAUAUUCGAUUUAUAAAAGAUACGCAAUGUUGCACGACACUACUUAUGGUUGACAGCUGUUCAAACGAUAUUAUUAUACUAAUAAUAUAACGCGUUGUAAUAAUACAUACAUGUCGAUGACCGAAUCAGAAGCUUAAUAAACCGGCUGAGACCCUAUUUACAUAUUGAACUUUGAAACAAAUUCUCAAUAUUUUAAUAAUUUCAUGCUGGUACAAAUUAACUAUCAUCGCAAGUAUAGAAUAGUGUUAAACUAACUAGUUGAAAAAUACAGAGCCAUUGCCUGCCCUAUAAAAAAAAUAUACGUAUUUUCUGAUAACGGCGUUGACCGAUAUCUUACUUCUCAUUCUCGCAAAAACAUCAGACUGCCAGCAAUUGUCACAGUUAUGAGAAUAUGCAAAUGGCUAACGCUGUGCUUGGUGUUCGUUAUAUAGUAACAACAACAACAACAUAUUAUAGUUUCUCCUUGUUUAAGUAUAUAUAUAUCGAAUGAUUUCCCAUGCAGUAUAAUCAUAAUACGAUAAUCAGCAACUUUGUAUGCAACGUGAGGCUGGUACUCGCAGUUCUCUUGACGUGCUGUAAGCUUCAGCUGAAAAGGUCACGAGGAUAUCUGUGGUUAAAGAUAGCGACAAUGUAUUGUCGCUUGAAAUAAUCGCGUAGGCACUUUGAAACGAGAGCUCCAAUAACUUCGGCGAUAUGGGAAUAAAAAAUACGCGAGAGGAAAAGUGAACAUGAGGAGACAUAUUUUUUUUUCUUUCAGUCAAAGACGCUGCAUUCACCCACAUUGUUUACAAUACCGUAAGCGGCGUAUACUUAUCGUGUACAGAUUUCGAGUAACGACUGUACCUACAAUCUUCGCCUUACCGAGACUUUGAUGUGGUUACUAUUUGCAUAUGCGCAACAUCCCAACAAACAUAGAACUGCAAGGACAUUGCGGCCUGCGAAGCACAUUGUAAAAUAGUACUGGCAAUGAGUCAGCAUUUUAUGUAUGUACGACAGUACUUCUACUGUUGCCGUGCAGUGCUUCUCAUGAAAGAUAAAAAUAUGAAUUACUUAAUAUGACCCUCCCCCACCCCCCGAUCCUCCCCCGCCUCCGCCGUCGCUUGCCUCUCCAAAAUUAAUGGCCCGUUACGAGUUCAGUUAAGGAUACCCACACAUGAUUCUGGGUACAUAAUCUAGGUUACGUGUGAUACGUAUUCAUACAAUAUAGACCAAUUCGCGUAAAGCUGUUCAAAUAAUUGUAAACAGAUAUCGUUCGCUCGUCUCUGCCUAUGUUUUCCUCCAGACGCUACGUGAAAUUGUGGAAAAACGUUAUAUCAUUCUUUGCAUUACGUUGUUUAAUCCAGAAUUCAAAUGCCAAUGGAAUAGUUUUGGGGCUCACUGUUUCACGCUUAUAUUACAGAUCUUAAAUCGUGUGUGAAUGUAAAUAUAUCGAUAAAAAUUGAAUGAUAUAUAAUGCUCGAUUUUAUCUUUAACGGUUUAAUUUUUUUGUUUUUAGAAAAAUUUGCGUGAUGUUAUACAGAAAUAAAGCAUAAAUUAUAAGACAACUGAUCCGUAGAUCUGAGCUGUUAUGAAUAUUUGACCAAAUU
rnacentral:lncRNA from 1 species